rnacentral:rRNA from 1 species
UACGUAGGGUGCAAGCGUUAAUCGGAAUUACUGGGCGUAAAGCGUGCACAGGCGGUUUUGUAAGACUGUCGUGAAAUCCCCGGGCUUAACCUGGGAAUGGCAUUUGGGACUGCAAGGCUUGAGUUUGGCAGAGGAGACUGGAAUUCCUGGUGUAGCAGUGAAAUGCGUAGAUAUCAGGAGGAAUACCGAUGGCGAAGGCAGGUCUCUGGGCUAGAACUGACGCUCAUGCACGAAAGCGUGGGGAGCAAACAGG